GUUUAAAGGGUGCGUAGGUGGGCAAGUAAGUCAGUGGUGAAAUCUCUGGGCUUAACCCGGAAACUGCCAUUGAUACUAUUUGUCUUGAAUUCUCUGGAGGUAAGCGGAAUAUGUCAUGUAGCGGUGAAAUGCUUAGAUAUGACAUAGAACACCCAUUGCGAAGGCAGCUUACUACGGAGACAUUGACACUGAGGCACGAAAGCGUGGGGAUCAAACAGGAUUAGAUACCCUGGUAGUCCACGCCCUAAACGAUGAUUACUCGACAUUAGCGAUAUUACUGUUAGUGUCUAAGCGAAAGCAUUAAGUAAUCCACCUGGGAAGUACGACCGCAAGGUUGAAACUCAAAGGAAUUGGCGGGGGUCCGCACAAGUGGUGGAGCAUGUGGUUUAAUUCGAUGAUACGCGAGGAACCUUACCUGGGCUAGAAUGCAUUUUGACCGCAAGUGAAAGCUUGUUUUGUAGCAAUACACAAUUUGUAAGGUGCUGCAUGGCUGUCGUCAGCUCGUGCCGUGAGGUGUUGGGUUAAGCCCCGCAACGAGCGCAACCCCUAUCUUUAGUUGCCAUCAGGUAAUGCUGGGAACUUCUAAAGAAACUGCCGUCGUAAGACGUGAGGAAGGAGGGGAUGAUGUCAAGUCAUCAUGGCCUUUAUGCCCAGGGCUACACACGUGCUACAAUGGGGAGGACAAAGGGCUGCCACUUAGCGAUAAGGAGCUAAUCCCAAAAACCUUCUCUCAGUUCAGAUUGGAGUCUGCAACUCGACUCCAUGAAGCUGGAAUCACUAGUAAUCGUAUA
rnacentral:rRNA from 1 species